rnacentral:rRNA from 1 species
CGAUUGUAAAGUUAGUGGCGGACGGGUGAGUAACGCGUGAAUAACCUGCCCUGUACCGGGGGACAACAGUUGGAAACGGCUGCUAAUACCGCAUAAGCGCACGGUUCCGCAUGGAACAGUGUGAAAAACUCCGGUGGUACAGGAUGGAUUCGCGUCUGAUUAGCCAGUUGGUGGGGUAACGGCCUACCAAAGCAACGAUCAGUAGCCGGCCUGAGAGGGUGAACGGCCACAUUGGGACUGAGACACGGCCCAAACUCCUACGGGAGGCAGCAUG